UAUAUUAGCCUGAAAACGAAACACCUGAUUUGGUAUUGAUUGCAAAACUGUUGACGUAAUUAUUAAAUAUUUUAUUUUAAUGUUGACUUGUUUGUGUGAGAAUGUAGAUUCCUUGACGCUUAUUUGCCCAAAUUUGCCUUCAGGCUCCCCACGUCCGUCUGUUUCUGUGCGUGAUCCAUAUGGUCGGGAUGUGGUAACGAUGGCGUCUAUAGCGGAUAGACUGGGCGUCAGCGGCGACCACGAGUGGUCAUCGGCGCCAGCUUCAGCAAGGGCAACAAGGGCACCGCCUUCCACUCCGUGCGCUAUGACUUCAAGCCGGCCUCCGUGGACCCGUCCAAGACAGCCACAGUGGACGUGGGUGAUAACCACAGUGUGACAGUGACUGUGCCGCACAUCGAGGGCACCAACCACACCGUCUACCGCGGCAACAGCCGGCCCUACCAGAAGGAAUGUGUGCUGAUAGUCGACCAUGAAACGGGGGAUAUCAGGCUCGAGAGGCUCACUGAGAACAUCCAGGUCAAGAAGACCAGGUCGGAGGGCCCCACGCCGCGGAUGCCGGCCAUGCCGCGGCCUUUGACUCCUAUCGACCCGGUGGCGCGGCGCACCUCGCCCUCCCAGCACCAGGCGGCGGCGGCGGCGGCUCCUCCGGCACCGCCGCAGCGCCUGUCGCCACACUCUGUGCCCUCUCGGUCUGCGCGCGCCUCACCCACUGUGCGCCGGCCGUCCCCGGUGCCGCACCAGCAGCCGGCCCGCCGCGAGCCGCCGCCGCCGCCCCCACCACCGGCCACGGCGCCCGGCAGCAUGCCUAGCAUCCUGGGGAUGCUGGACGAUGACACCUCGCUGCAGCUGCCGCAGGCCGCCCCGCCUCCCCAGCCGCCCCCGCCGCCGCAGCAGCAGCAGCCGCCCGCCGCGCCGGCGCACGCGCCGCCCCGCAACCCGAGUACCGACUGUAUUGGCACGGUGAGCGACAGUGACAGUGACAGCGACUCGGGCUCCAGCUCCGACAGUGACAUGGAUGUGGACAGCCGACCCGUGCCAGGUCGUCAGAACGGUAACCUGAACAUGCCGUCCCUGCUGACGGACCUGCAGCUGUCCGAGUCGGACUAGCCGCCGGCGCGGGCCACAGGUCACCGACAGCCCGAGGUCACCGGCCUCCAGGUCAGCCAGGUCACUCCCGAGGACCGCCCGGCCUCGCACCGAGUGGCCGACGCGGCGUGGCUGCGGGCGCAGCCAGGACAAAACGACACACAGAUAUAACUGUAUAACGUGCCUGCUACGCAACGACGACGGAACGCUUGGACGCGAGGGCUGCGUGCGAUCCUAUAAACGCGUGCGGCCGGCGGGGCGCCGCAGUGUUGUUAUUUCGAACGUUGGUGAUGGGUGCGAGAGCGCGGUCCCUGCCGUCUCUCUGCGAUAGAUUUUAGGAGGUGAGAAGGACUAUGUCAGUGACACACCGCAGGUCGGGGAGGAGCUUUGCCGGCUCAUACCAGAAGGUAGCCGUCGUGGUGAGGCAGGAGGUAGAUCUGUAAGAGUGGGGCGGAUUCGCGGCCAACCAGGCCGUGACUGGAGCCUCCCUUAAGUCGACCGGAUGGACUGAGUUCCGAUGGUUCUAUAACGGUACCCUAGACUCUACGAGGCGAUAUUACUUAUCAACCGUCCGCUCUCCAACCGUUCCACAAACCAGCGUCUCUGAGCGCCUACUAACGUUCUGUGUUCUCCUGUGUUCUUUGACAAUGGUUCUUACCAUAGCCAGCUGUGAUCGCGAGCGAGCGGUCCGCCGAAGAGCUCUUCAGUGAUGGGUGCGUCAUUCCCCUCGUGGACAAAUCAUUUAUGCAAUCAGUCGAAAACAAGUCAGAUAGACGAUAUGCAGUAUCAACGGCAAAUAUCAAAAUCUAUUCCGCCGUAUCGCUUCGUAUGACCGAUCAGGACAUAUCAGAGUGAAUUGAUUAAAUUAUUGCAAUCUGCAGUAGACCUAUAGGUGAGGCCGUUCCGAAUCCCUCUCACGCUGUGCAGUACCGGUCGGCAUGUAUUGAGGGACCCCAUGACCUGGUCUGUGGGCUCCGGGACGCGCAUUCGAGGCUCCCCGUGAGGAGAGAGUCCGGGAGGAAGGAAAGAGUGAGGGAGUGUGUAUCACACGAGUCUGCUCUGCCCGAGGCGGGAAUACAGGUUUGAUAGUU
rnacentral:misc_RNA from 1 species